AGGGAAAGGUUCCAUG
rnacentral:sRNA from 1 species